rnacentral:rRNA from 1 species
AUCGGAGGAAAAGAAACCAACUGGGAUUACCUUAGUAACGGCGAGUGAAGCGGUAAAAGCUCAAAUUUGAAAUCUGGUACUUUCAGUGCCCGAGUUGUAAUUUGUAGAAUUUGUCUUUGAUUAGGUCCUUGUCUAUGUUCCUUGGAACAGGACGUCAUAGAGGGUGAGAAUCCCGUUUGGCGAGGAUACCUUUUCUCUGUAAGACUUUUUCGAAGAGUCGAGUUGUUUGGGAAUGCAGCUCAAAGUGGGUGGUAAAUUCCAUCUAAAGCUAAAUAUUGGCGAGAGACCGAUAGCGAACAAGUACAGUGAUGGAAAGAUGAAAAGAACUUUGAAAAGAGAGUGAAAAAGUACGUGAAAUUGUUGAAAGGGAAGGGCAUUUGAUCAGACAUGGUGUUUUUUGCAUGCACUCGCCUCUCGUGGGCUUGGGCCUCUCAAAAAUUUCACUGGGCCAACAUCAAUUCUGGCAGCAGGAUAAAUCAUUAAGAAUGUAGCUACUUCGGUAGUGUUAUAGCUUUUUGGAAUACUGUUAGCCGGGAUUGAGGACUGCGCUUCGGCAAGGAUGUUGGCAUAAUGGUUAAAUGCCGCCCGUCUA